rnacentral:lncRNA from 1 species
UGAAGAAACUUGCAGUUGGCACUUAUCCUUCACCAUCCAUUCCUAAAAGGGGGUCUUUCAGACUGAGAAGACUGAGAUCAUUGCCAAUACUCAGCCACAUUAUGCUGCCUUUACAGAUAUAACGUGAUCGAUCACUGAUACUGCAAAUAGUCAAGCUACAAUGAACUCCACAAUAUGAUUCUUAGGGCCAAAUGUAUACUUGGACAACGAUUUGAUUACUCAACUCUCCAGUAAGACAAGCAGUGUAGGUAGAGUAUAAAAAGGAGAUUAAAAAUUUCUGAACUUUAAUGACUCUCAGCGCCAAGGUGCCAACAAUGCUAUAAAUGUUACUGGUCUCUGUAUUUCCUGUGACCCAAAUGCCACUGCUACUGCUUAAGGCUUGAUCAGGAUGGUUGCUGUCAAACAAAAUGUGUUGAUCCUUGAAACAGGAGGCAGCACUUUUGAUGUAUCCAUCCUCACUUGUGAAGAUGGU